rnacentral:rRNA from 1 species
AUUGAACGCUGGCGGCAUGCUUUACACAUGCAAGUCGAACGGCAGCGCGGGCUUCGGCCUGGCGGCGAGUGGCGAACGGGUGAGUAAUGCAUCGGAACGUGCCCAGUAGUGGGGGAUAGCCCGGCGAAAGCCGGAUUAAUACCGCAUACGACCUGAGGGUGAAAGCGGGGGACCGAAAGGCCUCGCGCUAUUGGAGCGGCCGAUGUCGGAUUAGCUAGUUGGUGGGGUAAAGGCUUACCAAGGCGACGAUCCGUAGCUGGUCUGAGAGGACGACCAGCCACACUGGAACUGAGACACGGCCCGGACUCCUACGGGAGGCGGAAGUGGGAAAUUUUGGACAAGGGGGGCAACCCUGACCAGGCCAGGCCGCGGGGGGAAAGAGGGCCUCGGGUUUGUAACCCGCUUUUGUUGGGAAAGAAACCUUUUGGGCUAAUACCCCGGGGGAAUAAGGGUACGGAAAAAAAAGCACCGGCUAACUACGUG